rnacentral:rRNA from 1 species
AGUGAACGCUGGCGGUAGGCCUAACACAUGCAAGUCGAACGGCAGCACAGUAAGAGCUUGCUCUUACGGGUGGCGAGUGGCGGACGGGUGAGGAAUACAUCGGAAUCUACUUUUUCGUGGGGGAUAACGUAGGGAAACUUACGCUAAUACCGCAUACGACCUACGGGUGAAAGCAGGGGAUCUUCGCACCUUGCGCGAUUGAAUGAGCCGAUGUCGGAUUAGCUAGUUGGCGGGGUAAAGGCCCACCAAGGCGACGAUCCGUAGCUGGUCUGAGAGGAUGAUCAGCCACACUGGAACUGAGACACGGUCCAGACUCCUACGGGAGGCAGCAGUGGGGAAUAUUGGACAAUGGGCGCAAGCCUGAUCCAGCCAUACCGCGUGGGUGAAGAAGGCCUUCGGGUUGUAAAGCCCUGUUGUUGGGAAAGAAAAGCAGCAGGUUAAUACCCCGCUGUUCUGACGGUACCCAAAGAAUAAGCACCGGCUAACUUCGUG